GUGCUCCCUUCAGCAGCACAUAUACUAAAGUGGAACAAUACAAAGAAGAUUAGCAUGGGAUGACAUGCAAAUUCAUGAAACAUUCCAUAUUUUU
ensembl:snRNA U6 U6 spliceosomal RNA